rnacentral:rRNA from 1 species
AGCGAACGCUGGCGGCAUGCCUAACACAUGCAAGUCGAACGAGACCUUCGGGUCUAGUGGCGCACGGGUGCGUAACGCGGGGGAACCUGCCCUUAGGUUCGGAAUAACUCCCCGAAAGGGGGGCUAAUACCGGAUAAUGUCUGCGGACCAAAGAUUUAUCGCCUUUGGAUGGGCCCGCGUUGGAUUAGCUAGUUGGUAGGGUAAAAGCCUACCAAGGCGACGAUACAUAGCUGGGCUGAGAGGAUGAUCCGCCACUCUGGGACUGAGACACGGCCCAGACUCCUACGGGAGGCAGCAGUGGGGAAUAUUGGCCAAUGGGCGAAAGCCUGAUCCAGCAAUGCCGCGUGAGUGAUGAAGUCCUUAGGGUUGUACAGCUCUUUUACCCGGGAUGAUACUGACAGUACCGGGAGAAUAAGCUCCGGCUAACUCCGUG